rnacentral:rRNA from 1 species
GACGAACGCUGGCGGCGUGCUUAACACAUGCAAGUCGAACGGGAUCCGGGCUUUCGGGUUUGGUGAGAGUGGCGAACGGGUGAGUAACACGUGAGUAACCUGCCCCCUUCUUUGGGAUAACGUCGGGAAAUCGGCGCUAAUACUGGAUAUUCUUGCUGCAUCGCAUGGUGUGGUUUGGAAAGGGUUUCUGGUGGGGGAUGGGCUCGCGGCCUAUCAGCUUGUUGGUGGGGUGAUGGCUACCAAGGCUUUGACGGGUAGCCGGCCUGAGAGGGUGUCCGGCCACACUGGGACUGAGACACGGCCCAGACUCCUACGGGAGGCAGCAGUGGGGAAUAUUGCACAAUGGGCGCAAGCCUGAUGCAGCGACGCCGCGUGAGGGAUGACGGCCUUCGGGUUGUAAACCUCUUUCAGUAUGGAACAAGGAUCCUUCUUUUGGGGGGUUUGAGGGUACGUGCAGAAGAAGCGCCGGCUAACUACGUG